CUUUAAUCCUGCCAUUGCAUUAGACUAAAUACUGUACCUGAGUAAGCAAAGUCAUUAUGUGCAGGAAUUGUGCACUUUAAAUUGUAGAAUACUUAUGCUAUUCUAGUGAAUUGGGCUGGCUGCUUAACACAUCAUUUAGUAUCUUUUGGUCACAUUUAAAGCUGUAAAUGUAUUUAACAUUUUAUUUAAAUAAGCCCUUAAUAAUUUCAGUUUAAAAGUUAUUAGAGAUCCUAUAUAGUUACAAUUUU